AGAACGAACGCUGGCGGCGUGGAUAAGACAUGCAAGUCGAACGGGACUUUUCCGAGUAGCAAUACCUGGGAAAGUUUAGUGGCGAACGGGUGCGUAACACGUGGGCAAUCUGCCGAAAAGUGGGGGGAUAGCUCGCCGAAAGGCGAAUUAAUACCGCAUAUGAUCAGGGACGACAUCUUCCCAACAUUAAAGCCGGGGCAACCUGGCGCUUUUUGAUGAGCCCGCGGCCUAUCAGCUAGUUGGUGGGGUGAUGGCCUACCGAAGGCGGUGACGGGUA
rnacentral:rRNA from 1 species